CAUAAACUGGAAUCUGUAAAUAUGUAAAAUGCUAUUGGUGUUGCACGGUUGCACGUUUUAAAAACACUAUUAAUGAACUUUAUCAGAGUAAUAUUAUUCACGUAACAAAUGUAUCCUGGGAAUAAUGAUCAUUAACAACUGAAACGUGUUUUGUUACAUUUAAACUUGCAUAUUACAUUUGGUUUUUGCCUUCCUAAGCAUGCCAAAAUAA